GAGGGGUUGAGGUAUUGGUAGGGGGAAGUAGAGUGGUAUUGGGAGUAGUUGAUGGAGGAGUUGUAGUAUAAUUGACAGUAGCUUCAGGAGUAACUGCAGUACUUGAUGUUGUGGCGGGAGUAGAGAGAGCUGUAGUCAUAGUAAGCGUACUUGAUUGAGGGGUUGUGGUAUUGGUAGGGGGAAGUAGAGUGGUAUUGGGAGUAGUUGAUGGAGGAGUUGUAGUAUAAUUGACAGUAGCUUCAGGAGUAACUGCAGUACUUGAUGUUGUUGCAGGAGUAGAGAGAGCUGUAGUCAUAGUAAGCGUACUUGAUUGAGGGGUUGUGGUAUUGGUAGGGGGAAGUAGAGUGUUAUUGGGAGUAGUUGAUGGAGGAGAGACAGUAGCUUCAGUAGUAACUGCAGUACUUGAUCUUGUGGCAGGAGAGGAGGGAGCUGUAGUCAUAGUAAGCGUACUUGAUUGAGGGGUUGUGGUAUUGGUAGGGGGAAGUAGAGUGUUAUUGGGAGUAGUUGUGGCAAGAGUGAAGAUAGCUGUGGGAGAAACAGGAGUGCUGGAUGGAGAAGUUGGGUUAGGAUGGGAGAUGUUGAUGGUUGUUGCUGAUGGUUGAGUCCCAGUAGACUGUGGACUGUGAGAUACAGCAGGUGUCACACCGGAGAGAGUAGUAUCAGCUUGGCCAACAGUGCUAGAAUAAUUAAAGGGAAAAAGGAGAAUUGUUGUGCUGUAGUCUGGAUUUGUGGUUGGGAGAGUUUGGGCUGUAUUGAAUAGUGCUGUAAAAGAGAUACAGGCACAUUAGAAGACAGAUAAAUAAGAAAACUCCUCAUAACAUUUUAAGCUUAUUCAUGUUAUGGAAAUAAAAUAUAGUAUGAGCCUGUCUUGUCAUUCAGAAAGGUUAAUGACAGCUAUAACCUUCAGUUUCACUUUAACUUUACUCUUUGCAUGACAUUCAAAUUAGGGAGCUUAUUAUGUGGCCAAAAUGUCAAGGGGCCUAUGUGGUUUAAGAACAAGAAGCAAUAGCUAUUUUCAUGAAACACAAUGGUGGCCAAAUGAAAUGAUUCAUGAGGGUAAAUAAUUCUUAAUUUAAAGCUUAAAAUGUAUUUAAUACAAUUUAGUAUAACUUUUGUAUAUCAUUAUAUACAAUACAUUGUGGUGGAUAAAUAAAGGACACAGCUAUUGAUAAAUCUUUUAGUACAUUUUCAGAAACACCACGUAUGUCAAACAUAGACUAAAUGCUAAUAGUUAUUCAUUUGGCAAAUGCCCAUGCUGAGAUGAUUAAUCAGAUUUGCUUAAACAAAUGAAAAACCUGACAUCAUACUUUCAGCAGCUUUUGAAACCAAAUGAAAGCAACUCAAGCAAACUAAAUAAGCAAAAACAGAAAUGCUACACUGAUGAAUGACAUUGAAUAACACGGAACGCAAUCUGUAACAUGAUAUUCGCUUAUGAUAAGGUUCAAAUACUUGGUUACAUAGAAGCAUGGUAACAACAUGCAUUGCUUACCUGACAACAGCACAAGUAUCAAGGAACAACUCUGCAUUGUCCAGCUUCUUCCGUGGUGCCUCUAGCUAAACCAUAUGUAGCAUUUUAAAUAACAAUUUCCUGCAAAACUCUGUAACACUACCCACCGCUUGUGAAUGAUUAAUAAAGCUAUAAGGAAGUCCUUACUUAUCACUCACCUCAGCCCACUCAGAGUUGAAAUACAUUGCAGUCAAUAAAGUGCCAACAAUGGAACCUCAAGAUGGUAUGCAUGUAUUGUCUUUUUUCAGUAGAAUGGAUGACACUGAAUAGUAUUUCUGAUGUUUGUAGGUCAGAGACACAGUGGGUGAGUGUUUCUGUUUGUCAUAACCAAUACAAAACAGGGUGGAGGAUUUUAUGGCUGCAAUACCCAGGCAAGCGCUGC
ensembl:lncRNA